UCCUACGAGUCUGCGUAAGGUGCCCCACUCGGGGUGAAACGGGAAACCGGUGCGUCGCGGGCUCUUCACGGGGCCACGACAAGGCCGGUGCUGCCCCCGCAACGGUAUGCGAGCCAUGCGUCAUGUGCCACUGGGCCCUUCAGGCCUGGGAAGGCGAUGCGUGCCAGGAGAGCCUGCUCUCGCUCGUCAGCCCGGAGACCGGCCUCACGCCUGAAAACACC
rnacentral:ncRNA from 1 species